rnacentral:rRNA from 1 species
UACGAAGGGGGCUAGCGUUGUUCGGAAUUACUGGGCGUAAAGCGCACGUAGGCGGACUACUAAGUCAGGGGUGAAAUCCCGGGGCUCAACCCCGGAACUGCCUUUGAUACUGCAAAUCUCGAGUCCGGAAGAGGUGAGUGGAAUUCCUAGUGUAGAGGUGAAAUUCGUAGAUAUUAGGAAGAACACCAGUGGCGAAGGCGGCUCACUGGUCCGGUACUGACGCUGAGGUGCGAAAGCGUGGGGAGCAAACAGG